UCAGAACCAACGUCCGGACCACCCCGGUCCAGCCAAUGUGGAGCACGAGGGACAUCACAGGACGAACCAGACCUUCACUCGGGGCAGAGCAAGGAUGGGGUAGUGUGGGAUCAGCCGGCAAAAGAGAGUCAGGUGACCUCCCAGGAGAUCAGAUGAGAUUUGCUUUUGGAGAAGUGCAGGCUCAGCGGACACAGAGGCAUCACUCAUCGAUGCAAGAACUCCACGCAGCAUUCUGCCAAACGGCUCAGAGUUUCAGGAUAAAGCGAAACCCCGGGGACGGAGCCUUUCCGGCCAAAAUCAGCUUUGGCACAAAAGCAGGAAGUGAGAAGCCCACGUGCUCAGGCACGAACACCUGCUACCCGGCCACCACUUCCACGGCAAGUCCAGGCUCUGUGAGCAGCGCUGCGGCCCCCGGGCCUUGGGGAGGACGAGCCAACCCUUGCCGGGGGAGCACUGCAGAGAGAGUCUGACAGCCUUUAAAAGACGUGACGAGGAAGAACCGCUCCCCGUGGAUGUUACGCACGUGGAAAAAGGCCAGGACCAGAAACUCCGUCAGGAAGAAGGGUUAUCCAAGGUAAGCAGCGCCCUCCGUAAGGGGGAACCCUUGACGGCAACCUCCCCGCCUUCAGAGUAAGAUUGCGAGCUUGAACACCGGGGAGGUGGAUGGGACAGGGGGGAGCCACAGCUAUGGGAUCUAUCUGAAAGCAGCUUUCAGCUUCCUUGCAAAAGUUUCCCCAGCCAGGGGAAGGAUCCACGCCUACCAAACAAAGCGAGUGCUUCGGAGUCCCAGGCAAGCACAAUUCUCCCGAUGAAAGAAACUUCGGUGAAUCUCAGGCCCAGACCCUGGGAGGGCGGGACGUCAGCAGCUUAUUUGAGAACGUGCCGCCUCCAAGCACAGCAGUGAGGAAGCAGUGAGAGGCGGCAGAUGGGAAGGGGUGAGGGUGGGGACAGAAGCGCCACCCCGGCAGCUGUGGUGUCAUAAACACGUAGCAGCCGAUGGUGUAGACACGGGAGUCUCGAGCAUCUGAUUAACCGAGAAGCAGCUGUGGUAAUUUGUGAACUAACUUUAAAAAAAGAUCCAUCGCUUCUCGGCCUUUUGGCUGAGAUCGAGUGUAAAAAAAGAUCCCAAUACAGCAUUAUAUUCAACUGUUGGGUAGGCUGCGACAACAGUCAAUGGGCUAGGGAGGCCACCAGAGCGGAGACGCUCAGCCUUGGCCUGCUGGCGUGGGAGCACAGGGCCACACUAGAGGCAGAACCGGAUUAUAAUGAGGCCCUACCUGAGACUUCCAAGAAACAUUCCCUACAACUGGGUCCAAGACAGAUCCACCCAAUAUUUAAGUCCAGCCUUAACGAAGGCCUGUAUAGACCCAGACUUAGUAAUUUGAGUCUAAGAAGAGACUCCUAAAACUUCCAAUGAACUUGUUUGCUUGAACUCUCCCAUUACAGCCCAAAUAGAAAGGAUACGCCAUCUAAUCAUGUGGGCUUUUCAACUCAGCCCAAAUAUGUGGCAGAUAAGGACCAGACGAAAUUUCCCUUGCUAGCAUCACAUAAAGGAAUCCCUCCUAGCAGAAUCACUUCAUUAUAAUUCCUUCCUGUCAACCGAUAAUUGUACCAUUCUACACAACAUAUAUCAUUCUGCGGCUGGUGUCCUGUAAGAUUCUCAAGAAGUCAUGGCUGCUUUGUCUCCCUAAAUUGAGGGCCCACCUUUGGUCUCAUUUGAGAACAUCGAUCUGUAUGCAGCUGGUGCUUAUGAGGAGGUGUUGGAUGUCUGUUCAAUGAGGGCUAAGUGUAAUGUAACCCAAACGGCUUUGGAAUUCUGUCUCAGCCUCCUCUCUGCAGCCGCCUACUUUUUCUAGGGCAGGGUAAUGGAAAUUAGUUCAAGAAACGGAAAAAGUGUGAUUUCAGUAACUCCACUGAGCUGGUUUCCCUCGGGAAAAGGACAGCUAAACUGACUAUUGCCAGAAAAUAAACAAGUGCUGUGUGCCCUCUAUUAGUUAUUUAAA